AACGAACACUGGCGGCAGGCUUAACACAUGCAAGUCGAGCGCCCCGCAAGGGGAGCGGCAGACGGGUGAGUAACGCGUGGGAAUCUACCCAUCUCUACGGAAUAACGCAUGGAAACGUGUGCUAAUACUGUAUACGUCCUUCGGGAGAAAGAUUUAUCGGAGAUGGAUGAGCCCGCGUUGGAUUAGCUAGUUGGUGGGGUAAAGGCCUACCAAGGCGACGAUCCAUAGCUGGUCUGAGAGGAUGAUCAGCCACACUGGGACUGAGACACGGCCCAGACUCCUACGGGAGGCAGCAGUGGGGAAUAUUGGACAAUGGGCGCAAGCCUGAUCCAGCCAUGCCGCGUGAGUGAUGAAGGCCCUAGGGUUGUAAAGCUCUUUCACCGGUGAAGAUAAUGACGGUAACCGGAGAAGAAGCCCCGGCUAACUUCGUGCCAGCCGCCGCUGUAACAC
rnacentral:rRNA from 1 species